rnacentral:rRNA from 1 species
UGGGGAAUUUUGGACAAUGGGCGCAAGCCUGAUCCAGCAAUGCCGCGUGCAGGAUGAAGGCCUUCGGGUUGUAAACUGCUUUUGUACGGAACGAAAAGCCUCUCUCUAAUACAGGGGGGUGAUGACGGUACCGUAAGAAUAAGCACCGGCUAACUACGUGCCAGCAGCCGCGGUAAUACGUAGGGUGCAAGCGUUAAUCGGAAUUACUGGGCGUAAAGCGUGCGCAGGCGGUUUUGUAAGACAGUGGUGAAAUCCCCGGGCUCAACCUGGGAACUGCCAUUGUGACUGCAAGGCUGGAGUGCGGCAGAGGGGGGAUGGAAUUCCGCGUGUAGCAGUGAAAUGCGUAGAUAUGCGGAGGAACACCGAUGGCGAAGGCAAUCCCCUGGGCCUGCACUGACGCUCAUGCACGAAAGCGUGGGGAGCAAACAGGAUUAGAUACCCUGGUAGUCCACGCCCUAAACGGUGUCAACUGGUUGUUGGGGAUUUAUUUCUUCAGUAACGAAGCUAACGCGUGAAGUUGACCGCCUGGGGGAGUACGGCCGCAAGGUUAAAAACUC